rnacentral:tRNA from 1 species
GCCGGGGUAGCUCAGUUGGUAGAGCGCAAGGCUCUUAGCGACGUUUCGCUCAUACGAGGGUCCGUAGCACACCUUGUGGUCGAGGGUUCGAGCCCCUCCUCCGGCG